rnacentral:lncRNA from 1 species
UAAGAGAGAGAGAGAGAGCGCAACCAAUUACAUUAUUUGCUAAAUUUACUAACCAAAAUAAAUUACAUAAGGCGCAGUUAUCGCUUUCGAAGUUCAUCCCGUCUUGCAGUUAUUUAAUUGGUUUCGUUCAGCUCACACUUAGGGGUGUGCAUUUGGAUCGGGUAUCCGAAAUCCGAAUUGAUCUGCUCAAUUUCGGAUUUCGGAUAUUUGGAUCGGAUUCGGAUUUGAUUUAUUAAAAUUUUGAAUUUUUGGAUUGGAUUUGGAUUUGUAUUGUUUGAACCCGAUCCGAUCCGAAAUCCGAAUUUAUUAGGGAAAGUGUAAAUACUAAUUUUAUUUUUAGGGUUAGAACUUAUUUCAUUCUCGUUCUUUUCUCACAGUCAUAUCUCAGAGACUCAGACUUUGACUCUCAGAGAGACAGAGACUACUGUUUCACGCCACAAGCUGCUCCUGCUCGUCGCUUCCUCUGUCUCUUCUUUGUGUUCCGGCGACCAACGACCGCACUGGUAAGACACUACGACUCACUCCUUCUCUCUCUCUCUUUCUCCUCCUUUCUUAGAGCUUAAAGGAAGUGUUUGUUCUCUUUUAUUUCUUGGAUAAAAUUGAUGAAAUAAAUUGAGGGUUUCACUCUUGAUUUUCUUAAACAAAAAUAUACUAUACUAUAAUGGGGCACACAUCAUUUCCUUCGUGAUGUACCCAGGCCAACGCUAGUUGAGNNNNNNNNNNNNNNNNNNNNNNNNNAUAUAUAUAUAUAUAUAUAUAUAUAUAUAUAUAUAUAUAUAUCAAAUUCAAUAUGUAGUUAGUUUCUUUUGAAAUAGAAACUAACUAGAAAGAAAGAAUUGGCUUUGAUUGGUCAAGGCAGAACUUAGCGAUUCUAGCUAACACUAGAUUUAAAGCUCAAAUUUCUGCGUUCUUAAUAUAUAAAUCUUCUGCAGAAGUUAAAAAAAAAAAAACAACUCGGUACGCUCCUGUAGCUAUACUACUAUUUUGAAUCUGAUUUUACUUUUAAUUUUUUGUUUUGUUUCGUAGAUGGAAGAUGAGGUAGAGAUGGUGAAUGAAGUUCAAGCUCUUGUAAAAUGUGGUGAAAGUGGUGCUUAAGCCUUCAGUUCCUACAGUUAUUAUAGGCGUAAGCCUUCUAAUAAACUGAACCAAGUUGUUGCAUUAGGCUUAAGCCUUCUAAUAAACUGAACCAAGCUGCUGCAUUAAGCCUUCUCUAUUGUAUUGUCUUGUUCUGCCACCAAGCAGUCAAGCUGCUGCAUUAGGCUAUGUUCUGAUGAACAUUGAAAACAGCUUGUAUAGGCUGCAUAUAGGUUGCUGCAUAUAGGUUGUCCAGCUUAACAUGAUACACAUUUACUGAUUCUCUCAUUUUUGACAAGUGCAGUGUUACAGAACUUGAAAGCGUGCCAGGAAUCAGGACGGAAUGCGAUGGCCAUAGAAGUUGGAACUUGGAACUCUUUUGUGUAAUCUAUUAAGGAAUUCUGGUUGAGGAUUUCAGUUCAUUAGUGAUUAGACAUCUAUUUGGGAUUUUAGUUAAUUUUGUUUUGUUAUGAAGAAUGAAGAUUGUGUUUUGUUUAUGGACGCCUGUGAAUUUCUUUGAAAGACGCCUAUGAUGAACUGGUGCUUACCACAUGCAACUGAAUUUUCUCAAAUAUUUGCAUGCUUUGUUUGUCUUUCUCACUAUAGUCUUUGGAUUUGC